rnacentral:rRNA from 1 species
UACGUAGGGCGCGAGCGUUGUCCGGAAUUAUUGGGCGUAAAGAGCUCGUAGGCGGCCUGUUGCGUCCGCUGUGAAAUCCCAGGGCUCAACCUGGGCGUGCAGUGGAUACGGGCAGGCUGGAGGCAGGCAGGGGAGAACGGAAUUCCCGGUGUGAGCGGUGAAAUGCGCAGACUAGUCGGGAGGAACGACCGGUGGCGAAGGCGGUUCUCUGG